UGGCUGUUUGAAUCGCAUUGGGAUUUUUUUUUUAAACUCUUGAAAUAAAACCCGAACGCCCAUGUUCGGAAAAAUGGAACCGGAAAGAAGCAAGACAUGGAUUCUACAACAAUGAAACCAACCGAUAAAGCAGAGGCCGAUGUCAUCAUUUUAGAAGAAUACCAGUCUGUAGGAUGUGGAGGUGAAGCAGAGAAGUCUAAUCAGGAGGUGCCAAAAAGAGAAACUCACCAGUCCGUGUAAAAGACCGAAGCACCAGCUGGAUUCAGCACGACUUUUGACAAGAAAAAGACGGACACACCUGGCCUAGACAGCACGACCUUGGACAUGGUGAGUCUGGACUUUAAGAACAUUUCUGUUCAGUCUAUUUGAAUGGCGGUACUAAAUAGGUUCUGAUUUUAUUUUAUUUUAACUUGACAGAUUGCAUGUGGGGAGCCCAAGUAUUAUGCAAAAGAAGAGCUUUCAGCCACUUUGAAAGUUCUUAUCGAUAAAAAGAAAGAUGCUUUAAAACCAGAAGUUAAAGAUUUAAUUUGUGACAUUGAAAGGCUUACUGAGAGAAUGCCUGCCUUAGUGAUGAACUGAGACUCAGCAACUAGAACAAGGAAAACCAGAUCCCUGCAG